AUUUUCUGUAAUAAGACUGAUAACAUCAUAAUUUGUUCUUUUUUGAAUAAUAACUUCAUUACAUACCUGCGACCCUCUUCAGAACUUCUUCUGUCCUUUUUAUUUUUUUUUUCCUCUUGAUAGUUUUUUUAUUUCAAAAGUAAAAACUUGGAAUCCUAUCAAAGACCAUUGAAGUCCCAAAAGAGUAAAUGUUUGUCAAUGAUGAAAGACAAGGAGCAUAACUUAUCUAAGGCUUCUUGGGGCCAGUCUGGUUUUGUUUUCUUUCACUGGCAACUCUCAUCUUUUUUGAUCAUAGGAAAUUUUCUUCAGGGAAGUCACUGAGACAGUGAAAAUACAUAGUACUGGGUUGUGGGGUCCGGAGACUUGGAUCCCAGCCCUGUAACAUAUUCUCCUUAUAGAGUCACUUUGAACAAGUCACUUAACCUCUGUCCCUUUUUGCCUUGUCAAUGAAAUGGAGGAUUGGAUGGGACUGGAUUAGCAGUGAUCACAAAUGGAGGUGCACAGACUCAUUUCUUGUGGCUGUUCCAUUAACAUAGUAUUUGAAAUUGGAGUUAGAGUGUUUUUAGGGGAAGAGUGCCCUCUCCAGGUCACCACCAGCCCUACCUGCGCUCCCUCCUUUACUUUUUACUUCCUGGCCUCUUGUGGCCCUUGUUAAUGAUCAAUAAUCAUGGGAGUAGUCACUGAGCUUGUUAUGUCUAUGGUAUUAAUUAUGGUUUUUUAUUGUUUUUCUUAAAGAUUUGUAGAAGAUAAAAUGUGGGUUACAUUUUUGGAGGGAAGCUCUGCCUUGAAUGUUCUGAGCCUAAAUGGUAAAGAGUUAUUGAAUCGGACUAUAACUAUUGCUUUAAAAAGUCCAGACUGGAUCAAAAAUUUGGAAGAAGAAAUGAGUUUAGAGAAAAUUAGCAUUGCAUUGCCAUCAUCAACAAGCUCUACCCUGCUUGGUGAAGAUGCAGAGGUUGCAGCAGAUUUUGAUAUGGAAG
rnacentral:lncRNA from 1 species